GACGAACGCUGGCGGCGUGCUUAACACAUGCAAGUCGAACGGAAAGGCCCUGCUUUUGUUGGGUGCUCGAGUGGCGAACGGGUGAGUAACAAGUGAGUAACCUGCCCUUGACUUUGUGAUAACUUCAGGAAACUGCGGCUAAUACCGGAUAUGAUCUCCUGCUGCAUGGUGGGGGUUGGAAAGUUUCGGCGGUUGGGGAUGGACUCGCGGCUUAUCAGCUUGUUGGUGGGGUAGUGGCUUACCAAGGCUUUGACGGGUAGCCGGCGUGAGAGGGUGACCGGCCACAGUGGGACUGAGAUACGGCCCAGACUCCUACGGGAGGCAGCAGUGGGGAAUAUGGCAGAAUGGCCGGAAGCGUGAUGCAGCAACGCCGCGUGCGGGAUGCCGGGCUUCGGGUUGUAAACCGCUUUCGAAUGUGACGAAGAGUGAGUGACGGUAAUGGGUAAAGAAGCACCGGCUAACUACGUG
rnacentral:rRNA from 1 species